rnacentral:rRNA from 1 species
CUACGGGAGGCUGCAGUAAAGAAUAUUUCGCAAUGGGGGAAACCCUGACGAAGCGAUACCGCGUGGGCGAUGAAGGUCGUAAGAUUGUAAAGCCCUUUUUUGGAGGAAUAAUUCUGAAGGUACUCCAAGAAUAAGCACCGGCUAACUCCGUGCCAGCAGCCGCGGUAAUACGGAGGGUGCAAGCGUUACCCGGAAUCAUUGGGCGUAAAGCGUCCGCAGGUUGUUUGUUAAGUUGAAUAUUAAAUCUUGAAGCCCAACUUCAAGCCUGUAUUCAAAACUGGCAGACUAGAGUCUUUCAGAGGUACACGGAAUUCUGUGUGUAGGGGUAAAAUCCGUAGAUAUACAGAGGAACACCAAAAGCGAAGGCAGUGUACUGGGAAACGACUGACACUCAUGGACGAAAGCGUAGGUAGCGAACGGGAUUAGAUACCCGAGUAGUC